CUCAGGACGAACGCUGGCGGCGUGCCUAAUACAUGCAAGUAGAACGCUGAGGACUGGUGCUUGCACUGGUCUAAGGAGUUGCGAACGGGUGAGUAACGCGUAGGUAACCUACCUCAUAGCGGGGGAUAACUAUUGGAAACGAUAGCUAAUACCGCAUGACAAUAGGGUACACAUGUACCCUAUUUAAAAGGGGCAAAUGCUUCACUAUGAGAUGGACCUGCGUUGUAUUAGCUAGUUGGUAAGGUAACGGCUUACCAAGGCGACGAUACAUAGCCGACCUGAGAGGGUGAUCGGCCACACUGGGACUGAGACACGGCCCAGACUCCUACGGGAGGCAGCAGUAGGG
rnacentral:rRNA from 1 species